rnacentral:rRNA from 1 species
UACAGAGGUCUCAAGCGUUGUUCGGAUUCAUUGGGCGUAAAGGGUGCGUAGGCGGCGCGGUAAGUCGGGUGUGAAAUUUCGGAGCUUAACUCCGAAACUGCAUUCGAUACUGCCGUGCUUGAGGACUGGAGAGGAGACUGGAAUUUACGGUGUAGCGGUGAAAUGCGUAGAUAUCGUAAGGAAGACCAGUGGCGAAGGCGGGUCUCUGGACAGUUCCUGACGCUGAGGCACGAAGGUCAGGGGAGCAAACGGG